UCCCCUAUGGCUCAGAUGGUAAAGAAUCUGCCUGCAAUGCAGGAGACCUAGGUUUGAUCCCUGGGUUGGGAA
rnacentral:tRNA from 1 species